GUGGGGAAUCUUCCGCAAUGGACGAAAGUCUGACGGAGCGACGCCGCGUGAGUGAAGAAGGCCUUCGGGUCGUAAAGCUCUGUCAUCAGGGACGAACGGCCGGUGGAGUGGAAAGCCACCGGAUUGACGGUACCUGAGAAGGAAGCCACGGCUAACUACGUGCCAGCAGCCGCGGUAAUACGUAGGUGGCAAGCGUUGUCCGGAAUGAUUGGGCGUAAAGCGCGCGCAGGUGGGAUCUUAAGUCCAUUCUGAAAGUUCGGAGCUCAACUCCGUGAUGGGAUGGAAACUGCGAUUCUUGAGGACCGGAGAGGAAAGCGGAAUUCCCCGUGUACCGGUGGAAUGCGUAGAUAUGGGGCGGAACACCAGUGGCGAAGGCGGCUUUCUGGACGGUGUCUGACACUGAGGCGCGAAAGCUAGGGGAGCGAACGGGAUUAGAAACCCCGGUAGUCC
rnacentral:rRNA from 1 species